CAGGGAAGAAGCGAAAGUGACGGUACCUGCAGAAAAAGCACCGGCUAACUACGUGCCAGCAGCCGCGGUAAUACGUAGGGUGCAAGCGUUAUCCGGAAUUAUUGGGCGUAAAGAGCUCGUAGGCGGUUUGUCGCGUCUGCUGUGAAAACUGGGGGCUCAACCCCCAGCCUGCAGUGGGUACGGGCAGACUAGAGUGCGGUAGGGGAGAUUGGAAUUCCUGGUGUAGCGGUGGAAUGCGCAGAUAUCAGGAGGAACACCGAUGGCGAAGGCAGAUCUCUGGGCCGUAACUGACGCUGAGGAGCGAAAGGGUGGGGAGCAAACAGGCUUAGAUACCCUGGUAGUCCACCCCGUAAACGUUGGGAACUAGUUGUGGGGUCCAUUCCACGGAUUCCGUGACGCAGCUAACGCAUUAAGUUCCCCGCCUGGGGAGUACGGCCGCAAGGCUAAAACUCAAAGGAAUUGACGGGGACCCGCACAAGCGGCGGAGCAUGCGGAUUAAUUCGAUGCAACGCGAAGAACCUUACCAAGGCUUGACAUAUACGAGAACGGGCCAGAAAUGGUCAACUCUUUGGACACUCGUAAACAGGUGGUGCAUGGUUGUCGUCAGCUCGUGUCGUGAGAUGUUGGGUUAAGUCCCGCAACGAGCGCAACCCUCGUUCUAUGUUGCCAGCACGUAAUGGUGGGAACUCAUGGGAUACUGCCGGGGUCAACUCGGAGGAAGGUGGGGAUGACGUCAAAUCAUCAUGCCCCUUAUGUCUUGGGCUUCACGCAUGCUACAAUGGCCGGUACAAAGGGCUGCAAUACCGUAAGGUGGAGCGAAUCCCAAAAAGCCGGUCCCAGUUCGGAUUGAGGUCUGCAACUCGACCUCAUGAAGUCGGAGUCGCUAGUAAUCGCAGAUCAGCAACGCUGCGGUGAAUACGUUCCCGGGUCUUGUACACACCGCCCGUCAAGUCAUGAAAGUCGGUAACACCUGAAGCCGGUUGCCCAACCCUUGUGGAGGGAGCCGUCGAAGGUG
rnacentral:rRNA from 1 species